GCUUACGGCCAUACCACCUUAGGCACGCCCGAUCUCGUCUGAUCCUGGAAGCUAAGCAGGGUCGGGCCUGGUUAGUACUUGGAUGGGUGACCGCCUGGGAAUACCAGGUGCUGUAAGCA
ensembl:rRNA 5S_rRNA 5S ribosomal RNA